rnacentral:rRNA from 1 species
GAGAGUUAAACAGUACGUGAAAUUGUUGAAAGGGAAACGAUUGAAGCCAGUCGUACCUUCGGGUAAUCAGCCUUUCGGGUGCGAUUCUGUGGGGUUUGAGGAGCUUAACACCUUCAUGCUUUGCAUAUUCGUGCUCUUGGGUGUACUUGCCCGUGUGGUUGGUUAACAUCAAUUUUGGUGGUCAUAAAAUGACUGGAGGAAUGUAGCUUCGAUCUUGUAUUGAAGUGUUAUAGCCUUCGGUAGAUGUGAUGAUCGAGAUUGAGGAUUGCAACGGAUACCCUUCGGGGCUACCUGUCUGAUCUCUGAUCGUUGCUCUGGUGCCGAAAGCUUGCUUACGGUUAUCAAAGUCGAUGGUCAAUAGGUUAGAACGGAUUAAAUUCGUUAAGGAUGUUGACGUAAUGACUUUAAACGA